rnacentral:rRNA from 1 species
UAGGGAAUUUUCCACAAUGGACGAAAGUCUGAUGGAGCAACACCGCGUGCAGGAUGAAGGCCUUCGGGUUGUAAACUGCUUUUAUAAGUGAAGAUUAUGACGGUAACUUAUGAAUAAGGAUCGGCUAACUCCGUGCCAGCAGCCGCGGUCAUACGGAGGAUCCAAGCGUUAUCCGGAAUUACUGGGCGUAAAGAGUUGCGUAGGCGGCAGAGUAAGUAAUGCGUGAAAUGACGGGGCUCAACCCCGUGUCCAUGCGUUAAACUGCUCAGCUAGAGAAUGAGAGAGGUGGCUGGAAUUUCUAGUGUAGGAGUGAAAUCCGUAGAUAUUAGAAGGAACACCGAUGGCGUAGGCAGGCCACUGGCUCAUUUCUGACGCUCAGGCACGAAAGCGUGGGGAGCGACCGGGAUUAGAUACCCGCGUAGUCC